rnacentral:rRNA from 1 species
GACGAACGCUGGCGGCGUGCCUAAUACAUGCAAGUUGAGCGAUGAAGAUUGGUGCUUGCACCAAUUUGAAGAGCAGCGAACGGGUGAGUAACGCGUGGGGAAUCUGCCUUUGAGCGGGGACAACAUUUGGAAACGAAUGCUAAUACCGCAUAACAACUUUAAACAUAAGUUUUAAGUUUGAAAGAUGCAAUUGCAUCACUCAAAGAUGAUCCCGCGUUGUAUUAGCUAGUUGGUGAGGUAAAGGCUCACCAAGGCGAUGAUACAUAGCCGACCUGAGAGGGUGAUCGGCCACAUUGGGACUGAGACACGGCCCAAACUCCUACGGGAGGCAGCAGUAGGGAAUCUUCGGCAAUGGACGAAAGUCUGACCGAGCAACGCCGCGUGAGUGAAGAAGGUUUUCGGAUCGUAAAACUCUGUUGGUAGAGAAGAACGUUGGUGAGAGUGGAAAGCUCAUCAAGUGACGGUAACUACACAGAAAGGGACGGCUAACUACGUG